UGUAGUGUAAAUAUUCUAAAGGCACCAGAUCCUGGCCUGAUCCUCAAGGUAAGAAAUGUCAGAUCUGGGUAGUACUUGGAUGGGAGUUCAUCUAUGAAUACCAGGUGCUGUAA
rnacentral:rRNA from 11 species